rnacentral:rRNA from 1 species
AACGAACGCUGGCGGCAGGCCUAACACAUGCAAGUCGAGCGAAGCCUUCGGGCUUAGCGGCGGACGGGUGAGUAACGCGUGGGAACGUGCCCUUUGCUACGGAAUAGCCCCGGGAAACUGGGAGUAAUACCGUAUGUGCCCUUCGGGGGAAAGAUUUAUCGGCAAAGGAUCGGCCCGCGUUGGAUUAGGUAGUUGGUGGGGUAAUGGCCUACCAAGCCGACGAUCCAUAGCUGGUUUGAGAGGAUGAUCAGCCACACUGGGACUGAGACACGGCCCAGACUCCUACGGGAGGCAGCAGUGGGGAAUCUUAGACAAUGGGGGAAACCCUGAUCUAGCCAUGCCGCGUGAUCGAUGAAGGCCUUAGGGUUGUAAAGAUCUUUCAGUGGGGAAGAUAAUGACUGUACCCACAGAAGAAGCCCCGGCUAACUCCGUGCCAGCAGCCGCCGUAAGAC